AGUGGAACUGUUGGGUCAUAUGGUAACUUGAUUUAACCUUUUGAGGAACUGUCAGACUGUUUUUCAAGGUGGCUAUACCAUUUUACAUUCCCACCAGCAAU
rnacentral:pre_miRNA from 1 species